GGCCGACGCGCUGGCACCGCACUCUGCGCGUCCCUCCGCCGUGGACCAGCAUGGAAGCCCCGCGCGCGGGACCCGGGGCCCUGGCUCCCUGGAAAGAGAUGUCUGCAGAGGAGCUGGAGAAGCAGUAUUCGCCCAGCAGAUGGGUCAUCCGAGUGGAGCCUGAGGAAGCCUUGAGGACCUUCUGGGAGAAGGGAACCCAGGCCACCAACAACGCCCAGGCCACCAGGCGGUGCCAGCUGCACGUCCCCUAUGGGGAUGGUCACGGGGACAGAAUGGACAUCUACUUCCCUGGUGUGGAGUCAGAAGCCCUGCCUUUCUUCCUGUUUUUCCAUGGAGGGUACUGGCAGAGUGGAAGUAAAGACCAGUCGGCCUUCAUGGUCGACCCGCUGACAGCACAGGGAGUGGCCGUGGCGGUAGUGGAUUACGACGUCGCCCCCAAAGGGAGCCUGGACCGGAUGGUAGACCAGGCGACCCGCAGCGUCGCGUUCGUCCAGAAGCGGUAUCCACACAAUGAGGGGAUCUACCUGUGUGGACACUCUGCUGGAGCCCACCUGGCCAGCAUGGUGCUCCUGGCCAGCUGGACCGAGCAUGGAGUGGCACCCAACCUCAGAGGCUUCUUCCUGGUGAGCGGGAUCUAUGACCUGGAGCCCAUUGUACCCACCUCCAACAACGCUCUUCUUCUCCUGACCCUGGAGGAUGCGGUGAGGAACAGCCCAUGGAGGCGCCUGGACGCGGCCCCGGCACAGCCUUCGGGUCCAGCCUGCCCUGUCCUGGUGAUGGUGGGUGAACACGAGUCCCCCGAAUUCCACCGCCAGUCCUGGGAGUUCUGUCAGAGCCUAUGCCGAGGAGGAUGGAAAGUCACGUUUAAAAAACUGCCUGACGUGGAUCACUUCAGUAUCAUUGAGAAUCUGGCCAAAAAGGACUACGUGGUCACCCAGAUCAUCAUGAAAACCAUCUCCCAGAAGUGCUGAUGCUGGGCUCUGGCCCUUGAGCACCACCCUGGCAGUUCUCGGAGCCAAGGUGACUGCCUGCCCCGCAUGAGCCAUUCCUCUUCCUGAUGAGAGCACCUAAAAAUCUACCCGGCCUGCACCGAGCUCCAGGGAAGUCCGCAGGGCUGUGCUGUGAGCCGUCCGGAGCCUCGCCUGCCUGGCCCCUCUGCCUGCUGACAGGGUUCCUUGCCCAGGCCCUUGCACCGUGACAUUUCUAACUUGGAGCCAGAUGACCAUGGACUGAACCUACUGGAAUCCCAAAUAAACCUCUCCUUUAAGUUGUGGCUGUUUAUCCCAGGGAUGGGAAAUCUAAUCUACUGGGCUUUUCCUUUCUUUAAAAAGCUUCCUCCAGGUUCGGUGGCCUGCCUUGCAAGUGCAAGGACCUGAGUUCAAUCUCCGGUACCAAAAAAAAAGCUUCCUCCUACCCCAGUGUCUUCAGAAGCACCAAAGAUCUGCCACAGCACAGAGAGAUCCCAGACUGCAGUCCCUGCUAUUCCUGGAUUAUCUGUUUGCUAACAGUGGUAGCUGCCCUGUAGUUCAUUUUAGGUUGAUAGAGCCCUAGCUGAGAAUGGUUGUACACUUUUUUAGAUGAAUGAAAAUAUUAAAAAGGGAAUAUAGCUUCAUGAGAUAAAAAUUAUAAAACAUAGGCAGGGUAUAUUGGUGUGCAAAUGCAGUCCCAACUACUUGGGAGGCUGAGGCAGAAGGAUCUCUGAGGGUGUACCUUAGUGGUAGAGCUUGUGCUUGCUUAGCACGUACAGGCCCUUGGUUCCAUCACUGGCAGUACAACAAAACAAACUCAAAUGUGAACAGCCCUGUUCCUUCAUGUCCACGGUACAUGGCAGAGAGAGGAGGGGUAGCAUGGCCCUCGGUGCUUAAGCAUUUCCUCUCUGGCCCCACGGUUCACCAACCCUCUUGUAAAGUCUUCUCUAACCAGUGCUCGCUCUACCUUUGUUUCUGUCCACCCUGCCCUCUAUUCCGCCUGACAUUUGAGUCUGCCCCUGAAAGUCCUGGGGUCUUGGCCUGGGAGCCACACCAUGACCUUGAGAAGACCUUGGUGCUCACCUGAAGGUCCAUGCAGCUUCUCUGCCGCCUGCGGCCAUGUGCAAGGAGACUGUGUGGUCAUCCACACCCUGCCUGGCUGCACUUCCCCUCCCUGCAGCGUCCACUGUGGCCUUCUUGGUGGCAGAGAACAGAGCAGAACCCAAAUGUUCAUCAGCAGGGGAUAAACUCAGUCCCUGACUCACAAUGGCAUCACGAUGGUUGUUUCACUUUAUAGUGGUACAAAAAUACACGCGGAAAUCCACUGCUUUUCCCAGGGGUCAGUUGGCAGGCACUCUGUUCUCGUGGCUUUUAUGACCUGGGCGCAGUGGCACACGCAUGCCUAUAGCCUCAGCUAUUUGAAGGGAGCCUAAGGUAGGAGGACCCUCCAGUCACAAGACCAUAGUCUGCCUGUGCAACACAGCAAG